rnacentral:sRNA from 1 species
CAGGCGCCUUGGACGCGGAGCCGUGGGACGAGGGCGGCGGAAUGCAGUUUAUUCUACUCCAAGAGAUUCUGCCUCCCUUGUGUCCGGGAGAACAUCAGUGCUUUUCCUCAGGAAAUUCGGCAAGACUUGGAGAAAAGGAAAGCUCCAUCAAAGAGGACCCCCAGCCAGCCCGGUUCUCGGACGUGAGUGCAACUGGGGCUAGGUCAUCGGGCGGCACCCUGCACAGAGCUCCUGGGCCAGCCUGCGCCGGGGAUGCUGCUGAGCUGGUAGCCACCAUGCCUGGCCUUGUUUCUGGACCAUUGGGAGCAGCACUGCAGCCCAGGGGAGCUGGAGUCCAGCUUGGAGCAGCCACAGGCCCAGGGAGCUGUAGCAAGAGGGUAGCCCAAAGGCAGAUGCCAGACAAGACACAGCCAGGAACCCGGCCAGGUCCCCCCACAUGCCCCUCAGGGCCCAGGCCUGAGUGAGUGCUGCUCAGAUGUGACUGAGAGGGAUGACCUCCUUCAGCAGGGCAGCUCCUAAGAGGCUGCGUGCAGGUGCAUGUGGGGGGAGAUGCCACACUGUGUCGGGGCCAUGGUGCACUGUAGGUGGCUGCAGUGGUCUCUCUGUAAGGAAAAUCACUGACAGCAGCUCCUUCUGGAGCCAGUCUGGAAGGUCU